AGUGAACGCUGGCGGUAGGCCUAACACAUGCAAGUCGAACGGCAGCACAGUAAGAGCUUGCUCUUACGGGUGGCGAGUGGCGGACGGGUGAGGAAUACAUCGGAAUCUACUUUUUCGUGGGGGAUAACGUAGGGAAACUUACGCUAAUACCGCAUACGACCUACGGGUGAAAGCAGGGGAUCUUCGGACCUUGCGCGAUUGAAUGAGCCGAUGUCGGAUUAGCUAGUUGGCGGGGUAAAGGCCCACCAAGGCGACGAUCCGUAGCUGGUCUGAGAGGAUGAUCCGCAACACGGGAACUGAGAAACGGCCCAGACUCCUACGGGGGGCAGAAGGGGGGAAAUUUGGAAAAUGGGCGAAAGCCUGACCCAGCCAUACCGGGGGGGGGAAGAAGGCCUUCGGGUUUGAAACCCCUUUUGUUGGGAAAGAAAAGCAGCAGGUUAAAACCCCGCUGUUCUGACGGUACCAAAAAAAAAAGCACCGGCAAACUUCGG
rnacentral:rRNA from 1 species